AUGGAAACAGCCGUCGAAGGCCAUCGCCUGGCUGGCGUUGAAGGUGGACGGGAUCUGAAACAGAACAGGAAGCAAUCAGAAGCUCAGAACAUACCAAGCAGACACAAACACAGCUCCAGAACCAGAGUGGUGCAGUAGUUCACAGCUGCGUACUCGAUCACAGACAGGAAGACGAACAGGAAGCUGGUCCACAGCUCUCCAGCUCCAGCGAGCAGUUCUGUGUGUCCAGAGGGAAGCUGCUGAAGUCCAUCGAGCAGAGAGCCGUCACAGUGACCCUGAAACACACAAAAACAAAUUGAAGUUACUCGUCACGUCCUGGAUCGACCUCUCCUGCUGUUGUCAAGGAAACCAGAGCAUCUUCAAGUCCACAACCUCAAUUUUACCUCCACAACUUCCCUUCCUCCGUCUCCACCCGUCCCUGUCCCGUACCUGACGCUGUAGAGGAUGUUUCCGUCGGGGUAAACCCGCAGCAUGAUGUUCUCCAUGGUGGUGUC